GUGCUCACUUUGGCAGGACAUAUACUAAAAUUGGGACAAUACAGAGAAGUUUAGUAUUUCCUCUGCACAGGGAUGACAUUUAAAUUCAUGAAGUGUUCCAUAUUUAA
ensembl:snRNA U6 U6 spliceosomal RNA